AGCUCCAAUAGCGUAUAUUAAAGUUGUUGCGGUUAAAAGCUCGUAGUUGGAUUUCUGCUGAGGACGGGCGGUCCGCACUAUGUGCGUGUAUCUGUUACGGCCUUGGCAUCCUCUUGGUGAGCGUGUUUGUGCUUGAUUGCAUGGCACGGCAUCCAAGACUUUUACUUUGAGGAAAUUAGAGUGUUCACGGCAGGCAUACGCUUUGAAUAUAUUAGCAUGGAAUAAUAAGAUAGGACCAGGUUCCUAUUUUGUUGGUUUCUAGGGAUCAGGUAAUGGUUAAUAGGGAUAAUUGGGGGCAUUCGUAUUAAGGCGUCAGAGGUGGAAUUCUUGGAUUGCCUUACGACGAACUACUGCGAAAGCAUUUGCCAAGGAUGUUUUCA
rnacentral:rRNA from 1 species